GCUGGGUGUGGUGGCUCACACCUGUAAUCCUAGCACUUUGGGAGGCCGAGGCGAGUGGAUCACCUGAGGUCAGGAUUUUGAGACCAGCCUGACCAACAUGGUGAAACCCCGUCUCUA
ensembl:misc_RNA Metazoa_SRP Metazoan signal recognition particle RNA